CACGUAGGGUGCGAGCGUUGUCCGGAAUUAUUGGGCGUAAAGAGCUCGUAGGCGGUCUGUCGCGUCGGUCGUGAAAACCUGCAGCUUAACUGUGGGCUUGCGGUCGAUACGGGCAUGACUGGAGUUCGGCAGGGGAGACUGGAAUUCCUGGUGUAGCGGUGAAAUGCGUAGAUAUCAGGAGGAACACCGAUGGCGAAGGCAGGUCUCUGGGCCGAUACUGACGCUGAGGAGCGAAAGCGUGGGGAGCGAACAGG
rnacentral:rRNA from 1 species